rnacentral:tRNA from 1 species
GCGGUUGUGGCGGAAUUGGUAGACGCACUACCUUGAGGUGGUAACGCUGGAAACGGCGUGGAGGUUCGAGUCCUCUCAACCGCACCA